rnacentral:rRNA from 1 species
GAUGAACGCUAGCUACAGGCUUAACACAUGCAAGUCGAGGGGUAGCAGGGUAGCAAUACCGCUGACGACCGGCGCACGGGUGAGUAACACGUAUCCAACCUUCCCAUAACUCGGGGAUGGCCUUUCGAAAGAAAGAUUAAUACCCGAUAGUACUUUUUCAAGGCAUCUUGAGAAAGUUAAAGAUUUAUUGGUUAUGGAUGGGGAUGCGUUCCAUUAGAUAGUUGGUGAGGUAACGGCUCACCAAGUCUUCGAUGGAUAGGGGUUCUGAGAGGAAGGUCCCCCACUUUGGUACUGAGACACGGACCAAACUCCUACGGGAGGCAGCAGUGAGGAAUAUUGGUCAAUGGGCGAGAGCCUGAACCAGCCAAGUAGCGUGAAGGAUGAAGGUCUUAUGGAUUGUAAACUUCUCUUAUAGUAGAAUAAAGUGAUCCACGUGUGGAUUUUUGUAUGUAUACUAUGAAUAAGGAUCGGCUAACUCCGUGCCAGCCGCCGCUGUAA